GUAUGUUAUUGUCACCCUCCCACUCUUCUCGUUCUUGUCUGCUUCUCCCUGUCAUCUAUCCAGGCUUAAUUUACAUUUAGUCAUUUAGAGGCAAGUAGGGUGAAGUGCUUUGCCCAAGGACACCAUUUUCACGAACCUCCGACCUUCUGAUUAAAAGCCCAAUUCCAUAACCGCUCAGCCAUCUGACCCCUGACCCCCUUCCCAGGGGAUCUGCUCAAGCUGCUGUUCCGCCGUGACCCACUAAGACUCCGCCACACCCUGAGUUCAUGCCCGGGCCUGGUGAGGGAGCUGCUGAGUAACUGUGACGGCCAGCUGAAGACUGAGGUGGCCCACAUGGCGGCCUACUAUGAACACAGACUGCAGCUGGGCAGCAAGGCCAUCUACCACCUGGAGGCCUUCACCGCCAAGUUCAUGUCCCUCUACAAGAAGUUCAUGGAGGACGGCCUGGACGCCAUGAUGUUCUGACCACAGACUGGAGCACAUUCAUGUCAUCAACACACACACACACACACACACACACACACACCGUGACAUCUUGUUGGUGACUGGGAAAGGCCAUCUCAUGUCAACCACCCAUAUAUUUCAAUAAAAUGCUUGACUA